CAGUAGCCGCGGGAAUACGUAGGUGGCAAGCGUUGUCCGGAAUUAUUGGGCGUAAAGGGCUCGCAGGCGGUUUCUUAAGUCUGAUGUGAAAGCCCCCGGCUCAACCGGGGAGGGUCAUUGGAAACUGGGAAACUUGAGUGCAGAAGAGGAGAGUGGAUCUCCACGUGUAGCGGUGAAAUGCGUAGAGAUGUGGAGGAACACCAGUGGCGAAGGCGACUCUCUGGUCUGUAACUGACGCUGAGGAGCGAAAGCGUGGGGAGCGAACAGGAUUAGAUACCCCCGUAGUCCCUGUCUCUUAUAA
rnacentral:rRNA from 1 species